rnacentral:rRNA from 1 species
GACGAACGCUGGCGGCGUGCUUAACACAUGCAAGUCGAGCGGUAAGGCCCUUUCGGGGGUACACGAGCGGCGAACGGGUGAGUAACACGUGGGUGACCUGCCCUCAGCUCUGGGAUAAGCCUGGGAAACCGGGUCUAAUACUGGAUAUGACUCCAUGACGCAUGUUGUGGGGUGGAAAGCCUUGUGCGGCUGAGGAUGGGGCCCGCGGCCUAUCAGCUUGGUUGGUGGGGUGAGGGCCUACCAAGGCGACGACGGGUAGCCGGCCUGAGAGGGCGACCGGCCACACUGGGACUGAGACACGGCCCAGACUCCUACGGGAGGCAGCAGUGGGGAAUCUUGCGCAAUGGGCGAAAGCCUGACGCAGCGGCGCCGCGUGAGGGAUGAC